UAUUUUAAUAACCAACAAGCCUAAUCAAUUAAUCCAUUCAAAAAAAAUAAUUAAACUUAACUCAAACUUAUUUAAUAACAAGUACAAACAUUAAUAAGUAACAUAAAGGGAAAAACAAAAAAGUUAAAAUGAAAAAUAAGAUCAAAUGUCCCGCUAUUUUAUAUUCCUCUUCCUCUGAAAAAAAUCCCAAAUCAAAACCCUAAACUUUAAACACCACACAGUGCUUCAACAAUCACCGCUAGUAAUUAUUGAUCGAAAAUCACUCAGUACUUGAACAAUUGUCGAUAGUCACAAACAGCCCCAUCUCCAAUCGAAAAAAGAAAAGAAAAUUGAAGAAGAAGAAAAAAAAUGAUUAUGAAAUCUCGUCUCAAGAGUAGGUUUGUAGUCAUUAGUUUGGUCUCUCUCCUAGUGUACUCGUUGGUGGCGAUCUGGUUAACUCGCCGAUGGCAAGGUUGAUUGGUUGUUGAGAGAAAGAGUAUGUUGGCCCAGCCGGCGAAGUCCAUUUUUUUCGGCAGUAUGGAAUGGUGAAAUCCAAUUUCUCUCUAUUCUUUGUGUUUCGUUUUUUUCGGCAUUUGACUUUUUCUGGGAAUUCCGAUUAGUGUGUUGCAUUUGAUCUGUAACUUGUCAGAAGCGAUUUUAUUUAGUUUUAAUAUUAGACAAAAAGAUAAUUUAAAUAAAUUACAAGAUAAGACUUUUUUUAAUUUAAUCGUCUAAAAUAACUUUUUUUUUCAAUUACACAUAAGUAUUAGUUUGCCUAAUCAACGGGCCACAUCAUCAAU
rnacentral:lncRNA from 1 species